UCAUUUAAUUAAUGAAUAUAAUGAAGAUUUUAUGAAUUAAAUACUGUCUCUAAAAUAUAAAACAAAAUUAAUANGUUUGUGAANAAGCUUANUUAUUUUUAAAAGACGAUAAGACCCUAUAGAACUUAUUUUANAUUUUAAAUUUACUGGGGAAGUAAAAAUAAAAACAAAAUUAUUUUUGAAUAUAAAAACUUGAAGUUUUUUUAACCACU
rnacentral:rRNA from 1 species